rnacentral:rRNA from 1 species
CCGCCUGCCCGGUGAUCACAGAUUUAACGGCUGCGGUAUUUUGACCGUGCAAAGGUAGCGAAAUCACUUGUCUCUUAAAUGGAGACCUGUAUGAAAGGCAUCACGAGGGCUUAACUGUCUCCCUUUUCCAGUCAAUGAAAUUGAUCUCCCCGUGCAGAAGCGGGGAUAAAAGCAUAAGACGAGAAGACCCUAUGAAGCUUUAGAUUAUAUAACAGACUAUGUCAAGCAAACCUUAUAAUGAAUAAAACCCGAUAGCCCCUGUUAUAGUAUCUUUGGUUGGGGCGACCGCGGGGAACAAAAUAACCCCCAUGUGGAGUGGGAGAAUUUCCUCCUACCACCAAGAACAACAGUUCUAAGUAACAAUACUUUUGACCAAUAAGAUCCGGCAACGCCGAUUAACGAACCGAGUUACUCUAGGGAUAACAGCGCAAUCCUCUUCAAGAGACCUUAUCAACAAGAGGGUUUACGACCUCGAUGUUGGAUCAGGACAUCCUAUUGGUGUAGCC